rnacentral:tRNA from 2 species
GGUGAGGUGCGGCGAAUGGUAAGCCAGCAGUUUGCUAAACUGUAGCCGUUUAAAAAGCGGCUUGUGGGUUCGACUCCCACCCUCACCGCCA